rnacentral:rRNA from 1 species
AUUGAACGCUGGCGGCAGGCCUAACACAUGCAAGUCGAACGAGUGGCGGACGGGUGAGUAAUGUCUGGGAAACUGCCCGAUGGAGGGGGAUAACUACUGGAAACGGUAGCUAAUACCGCAUACCAUCGGAUGUGCCCAGAUGGGAUUAGCUUGUAGGUGAGGUAACGGCUCACCUAGGCGACGAUCCCUAGCUGGUCUGAGAGGAUGACCAGCAAGAAUGGAAAUUAGACACGGGCCAGACUGCGACGGGAGGCAGCAGUGGGGAAUAUUGCAGAAUGGGCGCAAGCUGUAUGAAGCCAGGCCGCGGGUAUGAAGAAGGCCUUCGGGUUGUAAAGUACUUUCAGCGGGGAGGCGUUACCCGCAGAAGAAGCACCGGCUAACUCCGGGCCAGCAGCCGCGGUAAUAC